rnacentral:rRNA from 1 species
AUGAACCCCGGGCAGGCAACGGAACCCGGAUCCUUUUCAAAAACAUCGGGGCCAGCAUUGCCCCUCAAUUCGGCUUGCGCUUGGCCGGGUUCGUCAACCUGGCCAAGACCGCAACCCAGCCAAGACCGCAAACCGGCCAAGACCGCAACGCGGCCCGGCCUGCUGGCGCACGCCGGCCGAACUCAACAAAGCCAAGACUUCUCCAACAAGCGAGCGCCCUUAUGGUGUCUUCCUCAACCCGGCCACGGGUCAGCUCCCGUCCCAUCCAAGGCGUACGAUGGAACAAGUCCUCGUAGAAGGGAUGAGCAAGGCCACAGUGCCCCACCAACUCCUCUGACUGGCAGGAGCGUGGCAACAGUGCCCCACCAACUCCGCUGA